rnacentral:rRNA from 1 species
UACGUAGGGAGCUAGCGUUGUCCGGAAUCAUUGGGCGUAAAGCGCGCGUAGGCGGCCCGGUAAGUCCGCUGUGAAAGUCAAAGGCUCAACCUUUGAAUGUCAGCGGAUACUGCCGGGCUAGAGUCCGGAAGAGGCGAGUGGAAUUCCUGGUGUAGCGGUGAAAUGCGCAGAUAUCAGGAGGAACACCGAUGGCGAAGGCAGCUCGCUGGGACGGUACUGACGCUGAGGCGCGAAAGCGUGGGGAGCAAACAGG